rnacentral:rRNA from 1 species
UACGAACUGUGCGAACGUUAUUCGGAAUCACUGGGCUUACAGGGUGCGUAGGCGGCUCGUUAAGUAGGGUGUGAAAGCCCCCGGCUCAACCGGGGAAUUGCGCCCUAAACUGGCGAGCUGGAGUGAGAUAGGGGUGUGUGGAACUUCCGGUGGAGCGGUGAAAUGUGUUGAUAUCGGAAGGAACGCCGGUGGCGAAAGCGACACACUGGAUCUUGUCUGACGCUGAGGCACGAAAGCCAGGGGAGCGAACGGG